GGAUGAGGAAAGAGAACAUCUACAUCAGAAGAGACAUCACUGGAUGUAAGAGCGGAUGUUGGUUCGGGGCUACGACCGCACCCGAUCCCACGCCGAGUAACAAAGUAUUGUAUGGGAGUUGGCCUAUGAAAUUUGGAGGAAAAUGGGUCGCAAACACCGCCGUCUGGCCAUUAUAAAGAAAUGGUCAGACAUGAAGAGAAGGCAGCCUCGUUUCAUUAAAAGAAUCCCGGACGAAAAAUGCCCAGAUUGAGCCACCCCCACCAGGUGUGAGAGAAGUGAAGGAGGUGUAAAGUGCCGUACCCUCCAGCACCACCCCAUCUGAGAACUCGGAGGAAGAGGGGGUGAUCACCAGCCCUCGGCAGGAGGGAAUGAAGACAUUAAAGGCAAAAUUGGUGAAAAUGCAAAGGGCGCAUCUCAAUCAUAUGCGGGCCGUUCAUGAGCGCUUGAAGGCCAUGGAGGAGAGGCAACGCCAGGCCAUGAAGGG